AUUGAACGCUGGCGGCAUGCCUUACACAUGCAAGUCGAACGGCAGCACGGACUUCGGUCUGGUGGCGAGUGGCGAACGGGUGAGUAAUGUAUCGGAACGUACCUUUCAGUGGGGGAUAACGUAGCGAAAGUUACGCUAAUACCGCAUAUUCUGUGAGCAGGAAAGCAGGGGAUCGAAAGACCUUGCGCUGAUUGAGCGGCCGAUAUCAGAUUAGCUAGUUGGUGGGGUAAAGGCCUACCAAGGCGACGAUAUAUAGCGGGUCUGAGAGGAUGAUCCGCCACACUGGAACUGAGACACGGUCCAGACUCCUACGGGAGGCAGCAGUGGGGAAUUUUGGACAAUGGGGGCAACCCUGAUCCAGCCAUGCCGCGUGAGUGAAGAAGGCCUUCGGGUUGUAAAGCUCUUUCGGCCGGGAAGAAAUCGCAUAGGCUAAUACCCUGUGUGGAUGACGGUACCGGAAUAAGAAGCACCGGCUAACUACGUG
rnacentral:rRNA from 1 species